CUUGGAGAAGGUCGAUGAGAGAGUUGGCUGGGGGAAAGUGAAAACUUUAGUUUUCACUAUUCUAGCAGUUUGGAUGAGAUAUACUUGAUAGAGUAGCACAUUUAUCAUGGUGUGUAACUUUGCAGAAUAGGGUGUAACUUUGCAGUAUAGGAUGUAACGGGAGCAACUUUGCAACCACAUUGAUCAAGUCCGUGGUCGUGACUUCGCUGAUGAGGGGUUUGACGACAACAGAGUUGAGGCCAGUGGAUGCGAUGGUCUUCACCUCAUCCAAGAAGAAGUUGCCCACCCCGACACACACCCUGUACACACCUGCAUCCUCCAUCUGUAAAACAACGUGACAUU